AAGUCCGUCUUCCCUCUUUCCCUCAGCUCGUGGGAUGUUUGUGGACCCGGAGCCGAGCGGGAGUCGCACGGUCCCGAUGGAAUGGGAGGGAUGGAAGGAGCCUGUGGUGGCCUGGCAGGCUAGGCUGUUUGGGACACUCUAAUUCCAAGUAUUGUUGGAAACACCUUAAAUUGGGGCCUGAAGGGAAACAUGAACCUGGGAUCUCGUCACCUUUGCUCGUGGGAUGAGAUGGAAAACCAGCUGAGGAUGUUGUUGGAAAGGGACCAAGGCAACACUCCACUCCCCCGGCUUGUACUUGAGCCGGCGCAGGGGGUGCGUGAGGCUCCUCCGGGAGUGGUUGUCGAAAUCCUCGGCCAGGCGGAAAUUCCGGUCCAGGAUCUCGGCGGCCUCCUGCCAGUUCUGGAAGCACUUGGGGCCCAUCCUCUGGAUCUCCUCCACGGCGUUGGCCACCAGCACGUCCCCGCUGGGCUUCAGCACCACCACGGCCGGCACCUCGGACACGGCGAAGCGCAGCUCCAGCUCCCUGUGGGCAACGGGAACGGGAAUGGAAUGGGAAUGG